GACGAACGCUGGCGGCGUGCUUAACACAUGCAAGUCGAACGGAAAGGCCAUGCUUUUGUGGGGUGCUCGAGUGGCGAACGGGUGAGUAACACGUGAGUAACCUGCCCUUGACUUUGGGAUAACUUCAGGAAACUGGGGCUAAUACCGGAUAGGAGCUCCUGCUGCAUGGUGGGGGUUGAAAAGUUUCGGCGGUUGGGGAUGGACUCGCGGCUUAUCAGCUUGUUGGUGGGGUAGUGGCUUACCAAGGCUUUGACGGGUAGCCGGCCUGAGAGGGUGACCGGCCACAUUGGGACUGAGAUACGGCCCAGACUCCUACGGGAGGCAGCAGUGGGGAAUAUUGCACAAUGGGCGGAAGCCUGAUGCAGCAACGCCGCGUGCGGGAUGACGGCCUUCGGGUUGUAAACCGCUUUCGCCUGUGACGAAGCGUGAGUGACGGUAAUGGGUAAAGAAGCACCGGCUAACUACGUG
rnacentral:rRNA from 1 species